rnacentral:rRNA from 1 species
UAGGGAAUAUUGCACAAUGGGCGAAAGCCUGAUGCAGCAACGCCGCGUGCGCGAUGAAGGCCUUCGGGUCGUAAAGCGCUUUUCGGGGAGAUGAGGAAGGACAGUAUCCCCGGAAUAAGGUUCGGCUAACUACGUGCCAGCAGCCGCGGUAAAACGUAGGAACCGAGCGUUAUCCGAAUUUACUGGGCGUAAAGCGUGUGUAGGCGGUUCGGUAAGUUGGAUGUGAAAUCUCCUGGCUCAACUGGGAGAGGUCGUUCAAUACUGUCGAACUUGAGGGUGGUAGAGGGAGUUGGAAUUCCCGGUGUAGUGGUGAAAUGCGUAGAUAUCGGGAGGAACACCAGUGGCGAAAGCGGCCUCCUGGACCAUUCCUGACGCUCAGACACGAAAGCUAGGGGAGCAAACG